AACCUGGUUGAUCCUGCCAGUAGUCAUAUGCUUGUCUCAAAGAUUAAGCCAUGCAUGUCUAAGUAUAAGCUUUUAUACGGCGAAACUGCGAAUGGCUCAUUAAAACAGUUAUAGUUUACUUGAUUUUCAAACCCCCAUGGAUAACCGUGGUAAUUCUAGAGCUAAUACAUGCGAAAAAACAAAUCUUGCGGGCUCUGUUGUAUUUAUUAGAUAACUAACCAAUGAGCUUGGUGAUUCAUAAACUAUCUUCUCUCAUCCGACAUAUCAUUCACCUAAAUGACCUAUCAGCUCUUUGCAGGAAACCUUUUUAGGGGUUUGGCCUUCCGUGGCUAUGACGGGUAACGGGGAAUUAGGGUUCGAAAGUUGAGAGGGUUCCAAAGAAACGGCUACCACAUCUAAGGAAGGCAGCAGGCGCGCAAAUCCCGGUAUCCUUUCCAAGGGGAAAUGUGACUUAAAAUAACUUACCAGGGCUUAACACUCUUGUAAUUGGAAUGAGUGAAGUAUAAACCCCUUUACGAGUAUCAAUUGGAGGGCAAGUCUUUACAGAGCAGUUCAGGUAAUGGAGAUCCCUUGGAGGUAUAAAGAAGUUGUGGAUAUUAAAAAGCUCGUAGUUGGAUUUCUGUUGUAUAAUCUAUAAUAUUACUAAGGUAUAUAUUAUAUUAAUAUCCUCCCCUAGGUUAUAGGACUAAAUAAUUCCAAAACUUUACUUUGAGAAAAUUAGAGUGCUUAAAGCAGGCAACUGCCUUGAAUACUCCAGCAUGGAAUAAUAAGUAAGGACUUUUGUCUUUCUUAUUGGUUCUAGGACAAAAGUAAUGGUUAAUAGGGACAGUUGGGGGCAUUUUGGACCAGCAGGCUAUGGUGAUAUCCUUAGCCUAUUUAAAGUUUUUCUACCCCGAAAGCAUUUGCCAAGGAUGUUUUCAUUAAUCAAGAACGAAAGUUAGGGGAUCGAAGACGAUCAGACCUGGUCGUAGGGCAGAGCAUAAUCUAUGCAAUAGAGAGAAAGGAGGUUGUAACUUACUCCUUCAGCACCUUAUGAGAAAUCAAAGUCUUUGGGUUCUGGGGGGAGUAUGGUCGCAAGGCUUUAACUUAAAUUAAUUGACGAAGGGCACGCACCAGGAGUGGAGCCUGCGGCUUAAUUUGAUUCACACCGUUAAAACUCACCCCGCCCAGACUUAGGAAGGAAUGACAGAUUGAUAGCUCAACCUUGAUUUUAUGGGUGGAAGUGCAUGGUAUAUCUUAGAAGGUGGAGUGAAUUGUCUGGUUAAUUCCGUUAACGAACGUUUCAUUAACUCACUAAAUAAAUAAUAGAAAAAUAUUUUUCACUAGGAUCUGGCUAGAGGUACUGUGCGUGUGUAACGCGAUUAAGUUUGAUUCAAUAACUUCUCUGUGAUGGACUUAGAUGACCUGGGCUCUACGCGCGUUCCACUGAUUUCGCCAACGAGAGUACGUCAGGCUUCGAAUUAGUGGGUAAUUCAUAUGAUUAUGCAUCGUUAUGGGGAUAUUACAUUGUAAUUAUUGAUCUUUAACGAGGAAUUCCUAGUAAGCGCAAGUCAUCAGCUUGCGCUGAUUACGUCCCUGCCCUUUGUACACACCGCCCGUCGCUCCUACCGAUUGAGUGAUUCGGUGAAUAAUUCGGACCAUGCUACGAGUAGCAAAUACAUAGCAAGGAAAGUUUCGUAAAUUAUAUCACUAGACCGAAGCCCUUGUCGUUUCAAGGUUUUCGUAGGUGAACCUGCAGAACCUAAAUA
rnacentral:rRNA from 15 species